GAUGAACGCUGGCGGCGUGCCUAAUACGUGCAAGUCGAGCGAACAGAUAAGGAGCUUGCUCCUUUGACGUUAGCGGCGGACGGGUGAGUAACACGUGGGUCACCUACCUAUAAGACUGGGAUAACUUCGGGAAACCGGAGCUAAUACCGGAUAAUAUUUCGAACCGCAUGGUUCGAUAGUGAACGAUGGCUUUGCUAUCACUUAUAGAUGGACCCGCGCCGUAUUAGCUAGUUGGUAAGGUAACGGCUUACCAAGGCGACGAUACGUAGCCGACCUGAGAGGGUGAUCGGCCACACUGGAACUGAGACACGGUCCAGACUCCUACGGGAGGCAGCAGUAGGGAAUCUUCCGCAAUGGGCGAAAGCCUGACGGAGCAACGCCGCGUGAGUGAUGAAGGUCUUCGGAUCGUAAAACUCUGUUAUUAGGGAAGAACAUACGUGUAAGUAACUGUGCACGUCUUGACGGUACCUAAUCAGAAAGCCACGGCUAACUACGUG
rnacentral:rRNA from 1 species